AUUGAACGCUGGCGGCAUGCUUUACACAUGCAAGUCGGACGAGUGGCGAACGGGUGAGUAACGCAUCGGAACGUACCGAGUAAUGGGGGAUAACUUUUCGAAAGGACAGCUAAUACCGCAUAUCAUCCGAGCGACCGAUGUCUGAUUAGCUGUGUGGGGGGGUAAAGGCCCACCAAGGCGACGAUCAGUAGCGGGUCUGAGAGGAUGAUCAGCCACACUGGGACUGAGACACGGCCCAGACUCCUACGGGAGGCAGCAGUGGGGAAUUUUGGACAAUGGGCGCAAGCCUGAUCCAGCCAUGCCGCGUGUAUGAAGAAGGCCUUCGGGUUGUAAAGUACUUUUGUCAGGGAAGCGGUACCUAAAGAAUAAGCACCGGCUAACUACGUGCCAGCAGCCGCGGUAAUAC
rnacentral:rRNA from 1 species